GCAGUAAUAGGAGUGUUACGCUACUUAUAUCAUAUAUAUCAUUUAAUGUUUUUAAUUCAUCUAAUUAAUUCAUUCAUCAUAAUCUAGGAUUGUGUUCAUACGUACUCAUAUAAUUAAUUAGUCCACACAGAAACUGCUCACAAUGUCAUAUAUGACUUAUUGAUUUUACACCGUACAAUACACUAUACCAAAAGUCCAGAAGAACAUAUAUACAUAUAGAACAGGAGUCUCGAGCUUCACAGGCUCGAACCAGAGUACAUAUGCAUGCUCUUAUGGCUUCUAUAGUUUCCAGAACCAUAUCUCACAUUAUACUAGUACACAACCACUCAUAACAUAUGCACAUGAUGAGAGUAAGAGUUUUAAACGAGUUUUAAAACGCAAAACGAGGAUCAAGACACGAUCUUCCAUAUCUACUUGGCGUCGUCACCAGGACGGCCAACCCUGGAGCUCGAUGAUACCAUUUUGCAGAUUUGCAGUGUGUGAACCAGUAAAGCCUACUGUCGCUCUGAAAUGGAAAGUAAGGGUCAGUGCUAAUCACUGAGUGAGGAUCUCUGUCCUGGUCACUCUAACGUCCUAAUCACUCUAUGGUACAAAUAUUCAUAUAGGAAGUAUACAACAUAUAACACAUAAGGCUAAUUCUAUAAUCUAAUUCAAAUUCAUAUUUUAUUUUGGGAUCCCGACUCAUAUAUGUUGACGAUCCACGUAGAGUUAGUGGCACUCAAAUGGCUCACGUAGAGUUAGUGUGGAGCUUAUUAAAGUCCACGGCAAUAGUUAGUUGUGGCGCUUACCAAGGCCCACCGCGUAACAGAAGUGCAAUAAGCACAAUCGCCAGCAUACGAGCCCUAACUAGGUGAUCAAUCAAUUACAUAGUUUAUAUAAUAAUUAGUAGUAGCUACUGCUCAUAUUAACACAUAUAUUAAAUCGGAUAUAUCAACAAAGUAACAGAACAUGCAUCAUAUUAAGUAAUAAAUAUGGUAAAGAAGCAUAUAUAAUCUUAAAAUUAAACGGACAUUAUCCUAUCAUGCAUAUAGCCUUAAUAAUAAUAAACUCAUAAUGGAACGUCUAACCCGGUUGGAUACGCAGGAGACCCUCACCAGAAAUAAUCCUCAACAACCCCGAUAUCAGCUUCCAAGUCGAGAUGAAACUCCAAAGAUCUUUGGUGCUACGAAGUGAGUACUAGUGCUAUAUUUCUCUUAAGAGUGCAGACUAUAAGCUAC
rnacentral:lncRNA from 1 species